rnacentral:rRNA from 1 species
CACGUAGGCGGACUGGAAAGUUGGAGGUGAAAUCCCAGGGCUCAACCUUGGAACUGCCUUCAAAACUAUCAGUCUGGAGUUCGAGAGAGGUGAGUGGAAUUCCGAGUGUAGAGGUGAAAUUCGUAGAUAUUCGGAGGAACACCAGUGGCGAAGGCGGCUCACUGGCUCGAUACUGACGCUGAGGUGCGAAAGUGUGGGGAGCAAAACA